GCCCAGGUAGCUCAACUGGUAGAGCGAAACUUUGAAGGUGUUUAGGUUAUAAGUUCAAAUCUUAUCUUGGGCA